rnacentral:rRNA from 1 species
AACGAACGCUGGCGGCAGGCUUAACACAUGCAAGUCGAACGCCCCGCAAGGGGAGUGGCAGACGGGUGAGUAACGCGUGGGAAUCUACCCAGAUCUUCGGAACAACUGAGGGAAACUUCAGCUAAUACCGGAUACGCCCUACGGGGGAAAGAUUUAUCGGUUCUGGAUGAGCCCGCGUUGGAUUAGCUAGUUGGUGAGGUAACGGUUCACCAAGGCGACGAUCCAUAGCUGGUCUGAGAGGAUGAUCAGCCACACUGGGACUGAGACACGGCCCAGACUCCUACGGGAGGCAGCAGUGGGGAAUAUUGGACAAUGGGCGAAAGCCUGAUCCAGCCAUGCCGCGUGAGUGAUGAAGGCCUUAGGGUUGUAAAGCUCUUUCAGUAGGGAAGAUAAUGACGGUACCUACAGAAGAAGCCCCGGCUAACUUCGUGCCAGCAGCCGCGGUAA